AAGCAGUGAUGUGGAGCAAAUCCCCAAAAGCAGUCUUAGUUCGGAUUGUAGGCUGCAACCCGCCUACGGAUGAAGUCGGAAUUGCUAGUAAUCGCGGAUCAGCAUGCCGCGGUGAAUACGUUCCCGGGCCUUGUACACACCGCCCGUCACACCAUGGGAGUUGGUAACACCCGAAGUCAGUAGCCUAACCGCAAGGAGGGCGCUGCCGAAGGUGGGAUCGAUGACUGGGGUGAAGUCGUAACAAGGUAAC
rnacentral:rRNA from 1 species